rnacentral:rRNA from 1 species
GAUGAACGCUGGCGGCGUGCCUAAUACAUGCCAGUCGAGCGAACGGACGAGAAGCUUGCUUCUCUGAUGUUAGCGGCGGACGGGUGAGUAACACGUGGAUAACCUACCUAUAAGACUGGGAUAACUUCGGGAAACCGUAGCUAAUACCGGAUAAUAUUUUGAACCGCAUGGUUCAAAAGUGAAAGACGGUCUUGCUGUCACUUAUCGAUGGAUCCGCGCUGCAUUAGCUAGUUGGUAAGGUAACGGCUUACCAAGGCAACGAUGCAUAGCCGACCUGAGAGAGUGAUCGGCCACACGGGAACUGAGACACGGUCCAGACUCCUACGGGAGGCAGCAGUAGGGAAUCUUCCGCAAUGGGCGAAAGCCUGACGGAGCAACGCCGCGUGAGUGAUGAAGGUCUUCGGAUCGUAAAACUCUGUUAUUAGGGAAGAACAUAUGUGUAAGUAACUGUGCACAUCUUGACGGUACCUAAUCAGAAAGCCACGGCUAACUACGUG